ensembl:lncRNA LINC01320 long intergenic non-protein coding RNA 1320
GUGCACUUGGGGUGCUCGGAUUUUAAGGCAGCAGCUUGCCGAUCCUCCCAGCUGAAUAAAGCCCUUCCUUCUACAACUUGGUGUCUGAGAGGUUUUGUCUGCGGCUCGUCCUUCUACAUUUCUUGGUCCCCUGACCGGGAAUCGAGGUAACUGAGGGAUGGCCGAGGUAGCCCCUUAGGCAGCUUAGGCCUGCCCUGUGGAGCAUCCCUGCAGGGGACUCUGGCCAGCCUGAGUGACGUGAUCCAAAGAGCACUCCUGGGUAGAAAAUUGCCUGGGUGGAACGCCUCACCAGAACAGCACGUAGCAGGCCCCUGUGGAGGAUUAACACAGUGGCUGAACACCGGGAAGGAACUGGCACUUGGAGUCCGGACAUCUGAAACUUGAAUUGACAAGCCGACAUCAGUCUCCAGAGUGAAUCCAAGGAGUGGACCCAAGACAUUUGUGUUCUGUGAUGUGGUGGCAUGUUACCUGUCAUCUCCGAUGCAUAACUCCUAAAGUGCGUCUGGGGCAGUUGUACAGAUUGCAGAGGAUAAUACUCAAGAUGUUCUCCAAGGCCAACUAGUCAUCAGUUUAUUCAUGUUUCUGGGAUUGGAUUCAUGAACUCAUCCUUUGAACUAUUUCAACAAGCUUUUUCAUGUAACUAAUCUGCGGAAGGUAGAAAGGGGAAAACUGUUGGGUGCUAAAAUGACAACUGGUUCAAGAGCUCCCAAGAUGGUGGUGGGCCACUUCCAAGAUGGUGGCAAGAGUCGUAUUCUCUGACCUGGGGUUCUUGGUCUCAUGGAUUCCAAGGAAUGGAAUCUUGCGCCAUGUGGAGAAGCGUCAGAUAAUUAGGCAGCAGUCCAACAAUUAGGUUUUGUGGAACUUUUACUAUGUCAUCUAUUUAUUGGAAUUCCCCCUGGAUACCAGGACCCCCUCCAGCAGAGCUUAAAGUUAUAGUUACAGGAAGUACAAAUUCCUUAUGUGGAUCCCUGGAAGUGUGAUGAGAAGAACCACUGUUUCCAAGAUCUAUUUAUUCUAUUUAUCAGGCCUAUAAAAUCAUGUAAUGGCCAUGGCUUCAACUAGACUCCACAUCUUGAAUCACAGAACUCAACGAAUGGCAUCAACUACAAGCUGGUAUUCUGCUAUACAUUUAAGAGGCCAUUUUAAUAUUCUAUUAGUCUAGCAGCUUCUAAGUGAUGAGGGAUAUGGGGGGACUGGAGGAUCCCGUGCUCACUUCCUUUUCUGUAAAAGGAGCUCUUUGAUCCAAGGUGACAUGGUAUGGGAUCCAAUGACAAUAAAUCAGUUAUUCUGUGAACCCUGAUCAAAACUUGACUAAACUUUUGACAGUUAGGUUUUUUCCUGACCACAGACUCCUCACCUUUCUUUUCUUAGAAAAUUUACAUUGGAAAACAGAUGUAAAUUUUCUCCAGCCUCUUGCAAGGUUUACAGUCCAGGACUUUGAGGUCCUGGGAGUCAUCCUUUUGAAAUACAAUCAUCAAAGAAGAUAGUGCUCCAAUCUCCUAGUCUCUGUGGGAGGGUUGGAACCUAACUUCAGUAAACUAAUCACCAAUUAGCAAACACAGAGGGGCUGAUCAUACUGACCCACUUUCCCACUAAAAUGUCUAGUACUUUCCACCAGCUCACCACAGUGCUUAAAAACUCUCCUGUCUUUUGUUUUACUAGAGUUGAGUCCAAUCUCUUUCAUCUAUUGCAAUAGUGUUGAAUAAAGUCUUCCUUGCCUAA